UAAUACAUGCAAGUCGAACGAACGGAGGAAGAGCUUGCUCUUCCAAAGUUAGUGGCGGACGGGUGAGUAACACGUGGGCAACCUGCCUGUAAGUUGGGGAUAACUCCGGGAAACCGGGGCUAAUACCGAAUGAUAAGAUGUGGCGCAUGCCACGCCUUUGAAAGAUGGUUUCGGCUAUCGCUUACAGAUGGGCCCGCGGUGCAUUAGCUAGUUGGUAGGGUAAUGGCCUACCAAGGCAACGAUGCAUAGCCGACCUGAGAGGGUGAUCGGCCACACUGGGACUGAGACACGGCCCAGACUCCUACGGGAGGCAGCAGUAGGGAAUCUUCCGCAAUGGACGAAAGUCUGACGGAGCAACGCCGCGUGUAUGAAGAAGGUUUUCGGAUCGUAAAGUACUGUUGUUAGAGAAGAACAAGGAUAAGAGUAACU
rnacentral:rRNA from 1 species